AGAAACGGCCACUGCAGUUCACGCUCCACACCCGGCCCACGGGGAGCUUGCCUGUGUUCCUGGACUCAGGAGCUGAUUGGUCCUGCCCAGCUGGACCAGUGGCUGCGUCAGGGUCUGUUUGCCUCCACGGAAGAGUCCCCAGGGGGCUUGCUUGCCCCUCUGAAAAUCCGUGGUUCCGUGGUCUGCUUUUGUUAUCAAGGAAUGACAGAGGAUUCUAGAGUCGUCCAUAUGAAAGGUGAUGACACUGCGAUCUGCCGUCUCAGCAAGUCUCAAGUUCGCGUUUUGGGCUGUGGUCAGGCUACUGCGCGUUGGAUCUCCUUCCCCGUGGGUGGCUGUGGCUCCAGGCCCCGUGGUCGGCAGCUCCCGCAGGCCCCCCGUCCUCUGCCUGCGCUUCUGAGUUCGGCAGUCUCAGAUUCCGCACGCGGGCAAGUUCACACCGCGUGUGCCUUUCCUGUCUGGCUUCUAUCCCUCAGCACUGUGUUCUCCAGCUCCGUUCAUGGCAUCCAGAGGGCAGGAUUUCCUUCCCUCACAGCUGGAUGACACCACCCUGUUCCCACAGGCCCUGCCUUCUUUCCCCAUCCACGCGCCCCUGCCCACCUCACAGCAGCUCUGCUCACAGGGACCAAGCCGCCCCAAAGGCUGCAGUGUCCCAGGGCCAUGCAGACUCCUCUCCUGCGCCUUCCUCCAGACCCCAUCCCUGUCUCCCUUUGACUUCCGCUUCUUGGCGUGUGACCUCUCUCUCCCUAGGCAUCAGAGUGCAGGGCGCCGGACAUGGAGGGCUACUCUGGCAGCGGCCACUUCUGGAUCAGGCCAGGCAGUGUGGGCUGGGCAGCGGCAGAAUGGAGAGGCUGUGGCUGAGCCAGCCCCGGGCCCAGAGCUGGAGGUGGUAGAUCGCACAUACGGAGGAGCUCACGAAAUGCAAGCAUUCAACACAGUUAAGUUGACGAGGUGGGCAUGUCUGUGUGAGCAGCCCCCAAGCCAAGAUACAGAACAUUUCCCGUCAUCUGGCAGGCUCCCUCCCACCUCCUGAAGUUGCUGUACCUCCAGGCAUCACCUCUGAGUUCCAGGAAGGGAGAAGAGGAAGAAGAGGACAAAAGGGGUGUGUUGUUUCCUAUUAUCAGGAAAAUAAAAGUUUCAUCCAGAAGGGUUUCUGCUUAUGUCUCAUUAGUAGGAAACUGUCAAAUGGC